GCAGGGUAGGGGUUAAGGUUGUCAUUGUUGGGAUUAGGGUUAUGCCCAUAGAAAUGAAUGGAUGGUCUGCGCAAAGAUGGCUCUUCUACUGGCAUACAAGAACUGAGCAAUACCGUGAAGAGACUUGUUACAGCACAAUUUCAGCUCACUUCAGAUUUCCACUGCAGAAGGCUUGGCUCGGUAAAGGGGUUGCUGGGUUUGGUGAGUAGCAGUGACAGAAAACUGAAAAGAUGCUCAUUUACUGUUCACAUGGUAUAAAUAAUGAAUUGGCACAUAGUAAAUCUGUGAGAAUUGCAGUCUUACAUUAACAUCAAACGCUAGUGGAAUUAGCAUUAAUUUGCGCGAAUUUCCAAUACAAAUCCAUUCCGUUCUGCUGGUCUAUAGUACUUAAGUAGGUUGUUGGAAAUUUUUCAAGUUCCAGGUUAUCAGGAGUGCGGCAAUACAUCGGGAUGUGCGAUAAGCAGGGGCACAUCAGCGUGGAUAUGGCUUUGGUACAGUUUGGACAAUUUACAAAGGAAAACCAUCAGUUCAUGGUACGGCUCCGGUACGGCUUGGUUCUUACUAACAGUGAAAAAGCGCCAGUGUGUGUCUGUGUGUGUCUGUCCAGCUCUUCUUCCAAGUUGUCUUCUUCGAAAUACAUGUUUUUCUUCUCCUGUUCCUCUUCAUGGUCUCAGUCAGUGUCUCAUCCCCUUUUUUUGGAUAAUGGCAACCCCCCCCCCCCAAACUGACCUAACCUUUGUGAAGGUUCUUUGCAGCGCUGCAUACGAGGGUCCUUUGGGCCUGCAGCAGCCACUGAACAGCCUCCAGUCGGGCUCUGCGGUCUCUCUGAACUGGAGAGGUUUCCUCCUGUGUCCUGUUUGCCCUGUGCUCCUCAAGAGGUGGCCACAGCUCACACAGCCAGCUCGCAUGUCACCUAACAGAAGCUUACCGCUGGACCUGAGGCCUAGGGAGAGAGACUAGUACACUUCACGCAAAGGCCUUGUGUAUGCUGAUCCCCACAGACACCUCCACAAGUACGCUUUCCCCCCAACCUAAUUAGAGUCAGGCUCUGGCUGAACAGAGGUUCGCUUGAAGACUGAGAGCCUAUCAUGCCACAUAAGCAAAACGGUCACUUUGUGAAGUACAGAUCAAUAAACCUAAGUUCUGUAUUGUCUCACUGUCCUGAAGGCAUGUAACUGGCCUGGCUUCUACCAUCUUGUUUAUAUGCAAAACUUUUACCUAAUCUGAAAAGGUGAUUGUCUGCUUCUUGGUUAUGUGACAUUCCAUGAAGAAAGGAAGAACUUUCCCUACCACUGAAAUAAUGGCUCCGACUGCUGACACGCAUGGGAAUGCAAGAGGUUGAUACGCUUAAUGCAGCCAUGACAUGUUUUGACAAAUUUUUGCUUUGACAUGUUUUACUCAGAAUCGUGAAUAGGUUACUCCCAUUUAGUUCAUUUUGUGAAAAGCUGUUAAAGGUUUUCUUUAACAAUUUGAAAAUAGAGUAAAAUGUAUGCUUUGUAUUAUAGUUUACUUUGGGAAACCCUUAUUUGGAACAAAGCCAAUUUUUAAACUUUUUUGUAUAAUGUUUAUACAAAAUAACUGCAAAAGAACUUAAUUAGUAUCACAUUUGUUCAGGGCUUUAGCCGACUGUGUAAUGCCACAAAGUGUUAACGUGUCUGACAAGUGUGCAUAGGAGUUAUGUCAAAAAAAGGCAAUGAAGUCCACAAAAAAUGCCACUGGACUUCCCAAGGCCACACAGAAGAACGGCAAAAUGGUGGCGGAUGUUUGCUCUGUACUGGAGCCCACUGGCUCUCGGUAUUUGUUAAACACUCAGUGUGCUCUGGUGUCUGGCUCUGAUGAUAACGGGGUUUCCGGGAACCAGCGUGUUUGCCUCUCUGACGACAAGCCUAAAAUAUAUAUGUAGGGAUUGAGCACAGUAGGUACUUGACCCCUUAAUUUGCACCCCCAGAGGUAAUACGUGCAGGAUGUGCUUGGAGGCUGUGAGGAUGGCUCACCAGGACACUGGUAUGGUAUGAAAUGUGCUGAUUUUAUUUUUAUGUUCCCUUCAGCAUGCACUGUUUUUUGAUAUGCAGGGAUUUGCUGGUGAUCAAUGUUUUCCUAAUGAGAAGUUAAGUGUAUGCUACUAGUUUCAGUUGAGGUCCAUCUCAUCAAACUCCAAAUGAUUAGCUCAUGAAGGUUCUUCCUUUAAUGUACUGGAAGAAUGAUCUUUGCAUCUGAAAUCCUCAGACGUUAAGAAAAAGGUCUGUUCUUCCCUCAAAUUUUUUGCUCUUUCUCCUCAUUCAUACCAUGCUAUUACACCAUCCAUAUCUAUCUAUGGGGGGAAAAUCACCACAGUAUAUCGACUUGGAGAGUUUCUAGUUAACUAUAAAAAUAAUAUAUCAUAGUUUAAUGUUUUGGUUGCUAGGUAGCUCUUUUUAUAUACCAUUGCCAUAUUAUGUACUGCAUGUAUGCAGUACAUAAUCAUUGACUGAAUUGGUUUUUAACUAAACUUUAUUUUACAGGCCUUGGUUCAGAUAGGUGUCAAUGUGCUUGCAGUCUGUUAUUUCAGAUUGCUGAAAUGCAGCUGAACUAGUGCUUGCUGUGUAGAAUUACUCUCUGAACUGCUCUAAUCCAUUUCUGUGUUCUCUAAAGCUCAUUAAUUUAAAAUUCAAUAAAUUAAACUGUUUAAAAUGACAGAUUGGCAAUUAUACUUGUUUUCAAUUCAGUUCUCUCUUUGUAUGUGAGCAUAUGCUGUUUAUGUGUUUUAUAUGAUAAGAUUGUCUGUCUGCGUCUUGUCUAUAAAUUUAA